CCUGCAGGAGUUCCAGGCGCUGCGGGAAUGCUUCGCCCGGGCGGCAAAGGCGACACCGACGUGACCCCGGAGCCGCCCCCGCCUGGACGCGCCCGGGGACAUUAAAAGCCUCAAAUCCAUCGGUUUGUCCUCAGCUGACGGAACCCCCCCGAGUCCCGGAGCUGCUCACCCGCUCCCCGGCCCGGAGGAGCUGCAGCCCCGGGCUGGGUGAGGGUCACAGAUCUAUUUUUAUUUAUUAAAAAGAAGAACAUAAUUCAGA